CGGUGGUGUUGUCGGGGAUCAUCACGUCGGUGCCGUUGGUGCCGGAGCAGCCCGGCGGCGGGGGCGGCGGCGGUUCGACCGUGCCGCCUCCCAC
rnacentral:tRNA from 1 species